AAUGGAGGCACUUUAUUAUCAUUGUCCGAAGAGCAGCUCUCAUAUACAGUAACUUUUAGUAUUCUACAAAGAGAGCCCACUUUGCUUAAAAUUACUAACAAACACAGGUCAAUUCUAUGGCUUGUAAGAACCAACAAAUUAGUGGGGUGACUUUAAACCAAAAGUUAAUCCACCCCUCUUUAAACUCAUACCUAUCAAACCUAACUUUAAAAACAGAAUCAACAUGGGCAAUUAGGUGUUAAAGAGUACAGCAAAUAGGUAAUUUACUGCACUCUCAUAACACCCAAUUAUUCUUCCCCCUUUUUCAAACAGAAGCUCACUACAAAAUGCUUAUGCUUAUUGCUACCCCAUGCCUCCCUCUUACUUCUAUACGGUUGUACUCUAGGCUUUGAUGUCUGGUUGGUGUUUACUAAACAUCAGACUUUCAAGUUAUCUUCUUCAUCGUCAACGUUCUCCUCAAAUUUUCCUUCCAUUUUGAUACACUUAUACCACCUAGCACACGCCAUAUACACAACUAAGUCUAUAGUUGUCAAAGCAGCUAAGAGGAAGUAGAACCUAUCUAGGUGACCCUUGUUCAGAUUUCCUGGGAUCCAUCCAGGCAUUUUAUCCUGAGUUGAAAUCUUCAUUACCAUGGUCACCAGCAAGCUGCUCACAUAGUUUCCUAGUGAUAUAGAUGUCAUGCAGAGUGCACUUCCAAAGCUCUUUAGUCCAUCUGGCGUUUGUGCAUUGAAGAACUCCAAUUGACCUACGUACAUGAAAACCUCAGAAGCUCCAAUAAGUGCAAACUGAGGAACUUGCCAGAAGAUGCUCAAGGUGCUAGAGCCUUCGCAAUGUGUGCAAUCUUUUCUCGCAUACUUCAGUCUAUAGCACUCCACAAUCCCAGCUGAAACUAUUGCCAUUAUUGCUAUCACGAGACCAAUACCCAUUCUUUGAAGCUCGGUCAAUCCUUUCGAUUUUGAGUCUCUUAUCCUGCUCACAAGUGGAUCAAGAACUCGCCGAUAAAGGAAAAUGAAAAAUGCUACACUGAGAAUGUCAAAGCUAGACA
rnacentral:misc_RNA from 1 species